AUACAGUACAAAAGAAUUAUUUAACGCUGAAUUUAGUGAAACAAGUACAAAUAUUAUUUUUGUUCUAUAAGGAUAAUAAGCAAUCAUUUUUGAGCUUAAAACAAAUUGCCCUGUUUUCUAUUUCAUAGUUGUACUAACACAUAGUAGCAUUCUCAGAGAAUAUAAGUUAUCAAGCAGUAACAAAUGGCAGUAAACAAGACAAAUCAUGAUAACUUUGUUAAAUUUUCCUCAGAUUCACGUAUUCACAGGCCAGAUGUCCGAAAAUAAUUUACUUUGGAAAGCAAUUUUCACAUAGCAUUGGCUUAAACGUUCAAGAUUCGCUAUGUCUGCCUUUUUUAAACACUUAGACUGCUUGAUGCAUUUUACAAUUUCCUUCUCACGUAAACAGAAUGAUCAUUUUCUUGAUUAGUAUAUCGCCGCUUCAAUAGUUGAAACAGCUUUGCAAUAGAACAAAAAAGUCAAUAAACUGAAAACACAAAAUAACAUAGGCAUACUGCGUUGGCAAACUAAAAUAUUUCCAUUUUGUAAUUUCGACUCACUUGCGGUCAUCUCUGGGCAACCGCUAAAGCCCGUUACAGAAUUACAUUUUGAUUCAACGUUACAAGUCGAGAUAUGAAGAUAGCAACUGAAAUGCGUUAAUGAGUUAUGUUAUUAGUCUGAAUUAAAGAGGAUUUUUUACUAGCAAUACUGGCAGAAAUAAAUCGUUAUUUAAAACAUUUUUACGUAUCAAAAUGAAAUGCUUUAUAGGUAUGAAAAACCUGAUUGUAACAAUUCAAGUUGUUAUUUCAUGUUGUAAUUUUCAGUUCACGGACAUCUGCCUACAGUUUAUUUUUUAUUUGCAUUUUUUCCUCUCGUUUCUACGUUCAACGACGUGCUAAUUUUCCUUAUUCCCCUCGGUAUGUUUUCGUUCGUUUUACGGCAGAGCGCUCAGUUUUUGUUGAAAGUAAUUUCUUCCAAGUGCAGUGCUAAUUCACCAUCGUAGACAACAUGUAAGUUUUGUUUAUGAAGGCAACUUGGAAGCCAGAAUAGCUGCUGAAAAAAUACUACAAUAAACAAGAACAAGACUUGAGGGCUAUCUAGAUUGGGCAAAUAAGCUAUUUUUAUCAACAACACCUGUUCCAACGCUGACUGCGGUUUCACAUCCUCAAGGCUUGAAUUAAAAGGAAAAAUAUCCAUCGCGUUAGGCGGCUGACGAGAAUACUUUAAAACAACAGGCAUUUGCGUCAAUGAGCCGACGUUUAUUAAGAAGUCUCCUAUAGUGCGGGAAAACUGUCAUUCAGUAAGGUAAGGCUUUUCAUGUUGCUAAUUUACCGGUCUUAAAGAAAAAUAUAUUACAAAUAUCCGGAAAUCCAAUUCGGACGCGACGUAUGCCGCAGAAAGCAUUAGCAAAAUGUAAACAGAAAAGCGCUCUAAUGCCAAAUCCAAAACCGGCUAAAUUCAGCUGGUGGCAAAUACAGUACUGUCUCACGCGUUUGAAUUUCAUGUUCGAACCAGUGGUCGACUCGCCGAGUACGAUGGCUAAAGAACCAUGGAAGAUAAGUGGAAUUGAAAUUUUUUAAAAAAAAGGAACAAUAAAGGUAGCUCUUUAAGAUUCAUUUCAACCGAUUUCACUGGCAUCACACUGGCUUUCAGCAAAGCAAGCCGGUCGUUUUGUUUUUAAGCCGCGAUCAAUGAAUUGUUGAAUAAUUUAAAAACCCAACCAAAGGCAAAUUAUUAAAACGUUUUGAGCCAAUGAGAUGUACUAAAAAGAAAUCAACGCUACUAUAUGGUUCUUUCAAAAUUGAUCUCAAGGGGAAGUCUCCUUAGCUGACAUGAAUUGCCACUCUAAUGUCGGUAGGGUCACAAGUUAGCCAGUUCUGAUUGGCAAAGAGAGCUUUGCAGUGCGUCCCUAAUUUCGUAUUGAGCUCUUUAGUAAGGUUGUCUUCCGGCGGCAAGCCAGUCUGCUUGAAAGCGUAAACAGUGAUAGACAAAAUAAACAAUUUCAUUUUGAUUCGUGAUUACAAUUCCAAAUUUAAAUCCACACAAGUUUCAAUUUUCUGUGAAUUAAUGUUGAGUUAGAAUUGCUCUCUCUCGCUGAGAGCUAUUCCGGAUUUGACGUCAAUUGAUAUGGAACUUCAGGCUACCUAUUUGUAGAUUCUAAUUCUUUGUCAUGAAGAGUAAUUCACUGAAUCUCCCCUAUCUGAAAUUAACAGCUCUCUAUUGACUUAAGUCCAAUUAUGUCGAACUUUUCAGAGUCAGAAUCAUCGCGUUACGACUUUUACUAUUUGCACGUUAUCGAUUGAUAAGAAGGAGUUUUAAAUAUAUGAUCCAUUUAAAUAUAUUUUUUUUAGUUGAGCUUAAUUGCGUAGGCGGCCCAAUAUGCACAUUCUCAUUGUAUUGGACCCCAACACAAAAACAUCAUUUUCCUAUUUGACGCCAUUCAGUUGUGUGCCUUUUUAAUAUAUUCUGAAUAUAUCCGAAAUACCGUGUUAUCUAAAUUAUCGACUUCUGAAACGGGCCUAAAUUUAUUUAUACAAAUUGUCUGCCAAAAUUAGGUUGUGGUCUUGCAUUAGAAAAUGUCUGUCAUUCCUUUUGUUGACUAAUUUAUAGUAAUAGAGCCUUAUCUAGAGCAAAAUUCAUUGUGCUCGACUGCAGUCGAUAUGUUUUCAAACGAUGGCAGCCGUGGGAAAAAGAUUUUUAAAGCAUUCUUACUGAGCAAUAAGAUUCAGGGACAUAUAUCCAAACGGGCGCAGAUCCUGUACUUUUAAAAUUCAUUUAACCGCGGUGACAAAUGGGAAUUCGGAAUUCGCCAAUUAGCGCUGAUAAUAAGUUGAGUUCAAGAUCCAUAUCGAGAUCGUGGUUUUGUUGGGUGGAAACUCUCUGGUGACAUAAUUAAGUGACGCAAAUGCUUUGAGUUGAACUUGCACACAACAAAAUGGUAAAGGAAACGUUGACAAUUUGGAAUGUCAUAAUGUAGCAUUUUGGAACGAGAAUCGUCGAAAGUCCGCUAGAAAUGGAAUAGUCGGAGGUGUGGACCGGCUUUAGAAGAAAAAGCGUUCCUUCGUUGUCGAUCAACCAUCAACUCCGGACAGACGGCAUCCGUGAUAACAAUCACC